AAACAUAUUUAAAAGGAUGAACACCUGACUGCAGUGUGAAAGAAGGAUGGUGUGAGAGGACAGAGACAAGAGACAGGGAGAACGUGGACUCCUGCAGGCACCUAGAAGAGAAGAUAGUUCAGAAGGAAAACUGAAAAGACUUGAUCGAGCUCAAGUCCUUCUGCAGUCACCAGGGCUGGCGGUGUGGGGAGAAGCAGCAGCUGGUUUCAGCCUUCGCAACUCAGCCCCUCCCAGGAGAGAGGCAGAAUACACUUCCCUGCCCCCACUGGCUUUGGGCUUGGCCAGUGCAACUUUUUAUGGUCAACAGAACAGGAGUGAAGUUGCCAUGUGCCGUGUGUGGGCAGAAGCUUGCAGUGGUGUGGUUUGGUGAGGCGCUCUUCAGCCUUGACCUCCUCGUGAGAGCAGCAUGUGCCUUGGCCCCGGCUCCUGGAAUGAGACCACGCAUGCUGAGCUGAAUCCAGCUGAGUGGAGCCAUCAGAGUCACAGUUGGCCUUCAGUCAACCUGCAGCCCUCAUGAAAUGUGAGCAAGAAAUAAAUCUUUGGUUUUUGAGCCACUGAGAAUUUGGUGUUGUUUGUCGCUGUAGCAAAAACUGAUGCAACGUUCGAACACAAGUCUGACUGACUCCAAAGCUUCUACAAACUCUCAGUGAAAAUGAACAAUGUCUAAUUGAAUUUGAAAACCUACUAUGUGUUCAAUCUUCAGUUGCUGAGGCUCUCACUUCUUUCAAGACUUUGCUCAGUUCCACUCUCUCACUGAUGCUUGUGCAGAGCACCUGGUUUCCUUCCACAACCUGCUUUUCCAGCUCUGCCACCUCAGGAUUUCUGAUUCCCUUUACCUGGAUCUAUGUUUUCUCUUUUUAAAGUGUUCAUCUCCUGGGCGCUGAAAAGCAUACAUAGAACGUAGUCCCUGCCACAAGACUCUGAACGGUGGGCGUGGAUGGAGAGCAUUUUUCUUAGUGGUUUCCUGUGACUAUAAUCCCUCCCAUGGAACCUGGCUAAGUGCAUUUCUGCUGCUACAACAGAACACCACAGACUGGAAAGCAGAAAGGCAAGUGAUGAGUGCGAGAGACGGAGAGAGAAUGGGGCUGAACUUAUCCUGGGUCAACAAGAGAUAGAGAUGGAAUCAAAGUUUACCCUUGAAAAAUCCAGGCAAGAGGAUGCCAAACCUGUCAGGCUCGAAAGAUGCAAGGAUAGCAUGCAAUUAAAUGCUUGGGGCAGCGAACACCUUCAGACCUUGGUCAUCACAGACAAAGCGAGGACAGAGAAACUGAAGGUCCCUGCCCCGGCUUUGGCAGUGAAGGCACUGAAAUGAUCCAGAUACGCUGAUGAAUCCGUCACUUCUGGCUGAGUUAUGUGGUGCUCAGGACUGACGCUCGUACCACCCACCCGGUGAGGGCAACCUCAGCUCCUCGAGCUCACAGAACCUAUUGUUCUGCCCCCUUCUUACCCAGGCUGUCACUGCCGCCCUCCACCUCCAAACCGGGAGGGCAGGGAAAUGACUCCCCAGAGAGCCAUUUCUCAUGAACCAUGUAUACUGCCCAUAAAAGUGUGCAAACUGCUUGUGUGUGCGGGACGCGUAAACUGGAAGCUGCGUCAGCAUCUGCACACAAAUCACUUCUUAAAAUUUUAGAGAUGUUGCAGUGGACAAUAAUUGUUGAGACUGUUGGCUGUUGACCAAACCAGAUUCCUCUUCUUCCUGGGCUCACGUGGUUUCCAAGGCAACUGGAAGUGGUCACAAGACUGAGUCCUAGUCAAUGGAAUAUGUGCAGAUGUGUCCUGGCUUCUCCAGCCACGCCUGUACCCCCAGGGCCCAGCGAAGCUGCAUGGAGGCAUCUGUUGGCCUGGCCAUUGGCCCUGCUCUUCAGCAUCUUUGUGCUGCAGAUGGACAAGCCAGAUCCAAGGGACCAGCUGCACGGUGCCCCAGACCUCUAACAUGGCUGUCGUUUUCCCGGGAAAGCCUUGGGAUCCUAGCGUACCCACCCACUCCUUUUUAAGAACGACGUUUUUCAGCUCUUCCUCCGUGUGAGGACCCAGUGUUCCGUCUGGCACAGCAAGGCUCCCAGCAAGGCCCUGACCAGACACUGAAUCUGCUGGCACCUUGACCUUGGACUUCCCAGCCUUCAGAAUUGUGUUGUCUAUUCCCCGGCCCACUGCUCUGGCCCGGCCUUACGACUCACUCUGAACGAAAGAACGAAGCAGAAGUGAUGUCAUGUGACUUCCCGGCCUUGGCUUCAGGAAGCCUUGCAGCUCUUGCCCUGGUUCUCUUGGAAUGCUGCCACCGCCAAAUAGGUUGGUCCUCGCUCUCCUGCUGCAGACACAGGGCCCCGCUGACAGCCAGCGACAACCACCAACCAUGAGACUGAGGCUGUCUGGGCCGUUCAGCCUCAGGUAAGCCAUCGGAUGGCUGAUGACCCUGGAGACACAGCCGGCAGAAGAACCACCAGGGAGGCUUAGCGCAAAUUGCAGAACUGUGAGCAAAUUAAUGGAACGGCCAUCACACACGACACACGGAGACACGAUCCCGCACCCCGAGGUAUGCGACACCGGGCGGCGCGUGCCCGAGCCCCACGGGUCGUCUGCAACCCAGACAGACGCGGGAUGCCGGCGGCCAGGAACCCUGGCCUCUCCUGGCUCUCUCCCCAAAGCAAAACCCACCGUGGACGCCGCGGAGAACCGGGAAACCUCAUGGCUUUCAUCAUUUCCUUUCCCCAAGCUCCAUGUGGCGCGCAGGACACUCCGUUUUCCUGCAGGUUUGCGUCUUCCCGAGAGGCGAGCGGAGGAGGGGAGAGCGGAUCUGCGCGCCCAGGGCGCGGGGCGCAGAGGGGAGCAGCCCGCCCCGCGC